UUGGAAGAGCGCCACGGCAGUUCUUGAUAAAGAAGAACUUCAAGGCUGCGUUUCAAAGUCAACAUACGGUCAAAAAACACACCCUCGCCCAUUUACCCUUAGGGGAAUCCUCGUCGCCAUUUUGGUGGGUGGUCCAAAUGAUUAGCCAAGCAAGGGACGUUUGCAACGUAAGCCCCUCAGCCCUCGUUUUUUGUCGGCUUUGCGAGUGUACAAUUAUGUUCACUCCGGGGCCUGAAACUCCCCAUAAUUCAAUUCGCGACGAUUGUAUAAGUGUCGUUACUACAGUCCCUGGUUCAAAUCCAGGCUGUAUCACAUCCAGCCGUGAUUGGGAGUCCCAUAGGGCGGCGCACAAUUGGCCCAGCGUCGUCUGGGUUUGGCCGGGGUAGGCCGUCAUUGUAAAUAAGAAUUUGUUGUUGACUGACUAGCCUAAUUAGAUCAAGGUUAAAUAAAUAAAAAAUUAAAUUCCGGGAAAACUUAAAAACAACAUCAAUGGAGAAGUCAACAUACAAGUGAGCGAAUGCAAAUAAGUUAUAAAUUGUGGUACUAAUGCAAAAAGUAAACACUUUUGUUUGGUUAUCAUUUUCCUUCAGAAGUUCCAGCUAGGCAUUAGCUAAUUAAUUUGCUAGCUAUCAUACAGUGCAGUAGGUGAAUAUUAAUAAUGAUAUAUUUAGUAAGUAAACAUGCACUCAUAAUUGACUGCAGGACAUAAAAGCACCCACAAGCUACCGGUGCCUGAAAACACAAUCAUUGCGGGAUGAACGAGUGACGAAUUACCAAGAUUGGCGGACCGGAAACCCAGUGACAACACUCGGGUCUGCAGCUGACAUUUUCCGUUGGGAAAGAGAAAUGCCCCUGAGAAAAUGUUGCUCAUCCAUCAUCGCAAAAGAGGAAGUGUCAUAUACUUCCACAAUGGCAGAAGAGGUAGAUCCAGACACAUUCAACAUGGCAGACGAAGUUCCAGGCGCCUCGGCCACUGAAGAAUGUAGGAGGCUGCUGUCUACACCGUUUCGGAAUGUUCUCACUGAGGUGCAUCUUAUUAAGGAAACUGCGCAGUUGAAGGUUCUACAGGAGAAUCAGCUGUAUACCUGCAACGGGUAUUCAGCAUCGUGGCUGUCUGAUAAAGCACUGAGGAAAAAAACAGGACUUCCAGACAAAGUCAUGUUCAACAUUGUUGUUGAAUACCUGGAAUGUUAAAAGGACUGCGUUGUCUACUUUGCCAAGUGGAGGGUGAAGAUGUUGUCAUUUGAGGAUCAAGUGUUUAUGGCUCUUAUGAAGUUGCAUCACAACUACACCACCACCUACACGCUCAACUAUUCUGUUGUGGUGCAAUCACUGUCCGCAAUGUUACCAUCACUUUCAUUCACAAGCGUUUUUUCAUUAGCAUUAUGAAAGACAUCCAAGUUGGGAACCAAAAGUGCUUGUCUUUUCAUGGGUCCAGCGGAAACUGCAGGAUGGUCAUUGACUGUACUGCCAUGGAAGUGGUGCUUUCAAUGUGAUCUGUAUCGGACAAGGCGAUUGUCCAGGCUCUGUCGCAGCCGGCUGUGACUGGGUCGACGCACAAUUGAGAAGAUUUUCAUGUCUUCAUGUCUUUUUUCUCCCCAGUUACAGUUCGAGAGCCAUAUGUCCUCCGAAACCCAACCCAACCAAGCCGCACUGCUUCUUGACACAACGCACAUCCAACCCGGAAGCCAGCCGCACCAAUGUGUCGGAGGAAACACCGUACACCUGGCGACCUGGUCAGCGUGCACUGAGCCCGGCCCGCCACAGGAGUCGCUAGUGCGCAAUGAGACGAAGAUAUCCCUGCCGGCCAAACCCGGACGACGCUUGGCCAGCUGUGCGUCGCCCCAUGGACCUCCCGGUCGCGGCCGGCUGCGACAGAGCCUGGGCUCGAACCCAGAAUCUCUGGUGGCACAGCUAGCACUGCGAUGCAAUGCCUUAGACCACUGCGCCACCCAGGAGGCCCAGACAAAGGCUUCUUGAUCCAGAGCUUGACACAUGCAGGAAUUACUGUGAACAUUCCUGAACCACAAAGGUUCAUAGAGCGUGAGAUGCAUCUCACAAAAGAUAUAGCGAGAAAUGGGAUCCAUGUUGGUAGGGCAAAUGCUUCCUGCCAUCCAGGACCUCUAUACCAGGCGGUGUCAGAGGAAAGCCCUAAAGACUCCAGCCACAGUCUAUAAUUAUAGUCAUUGACUGAUCUCUCUGCUACCUCAUGGCAAGCGGUACCGGAGUGCCAAGUCUAGAUACAAAAUGCUUCUCAACAGCUUCUACCAGCAAGCCAUACGACUCCUGAACAGCUAAUUAAAUGGCUACCCAGACUAUUUGCCCCCCCCCCACCCCCCCCCUUUACGCCUCUGCUAUUCUCUGUUUAUUAUCUAUGCACUCCAUUGAACCUGCCCCGGAGAGGGUUCCUUAGACUCUGAAGAUCCUUCUCUGUGGGCUCUCGGGACAGAGGGUUGUUGUCUUAAGCCAGAAAUGAGGUGUGGCUUGCAGAACAUCCUGCUCAUCCCAUGAGAAGCAGAACAUGAUCAAUGCCACUUGCAGCAAGGAGAUCUUCUGGAAUGGAUGUACUCUCACUCUGGGGGUAGAGGCAGGGAUGACUGUGUUCUUCCACAAGUAAAACACGGGACUGACAGGAGGAUCAAUAGGAGUCUGCCAGAGGUCGUCACGCUGGAUUGUGAUGGAGGUUUUGGUGGUCCACACAACGAAGAAGCAGGUGUCCCUUCAAGUGCCAGUAAGGAUGGUCUUCACGGAGGCUGUAAGACCCUUUCUUCUGGAUAUAGAAAUCCUUCAACUUCACUGCCUCUUCAAUGGUAAGGUCCCCUCCAUUUGACCUCCACAAAUGCUGUGGUGCCCACCAGACCAUCUGGUGAGGCACCCAGAAUCCCAGACCCCGUGACCCAAGCCUUGACUCCUGCACAUCCAUCCCUGUAGCCAUUUUGACUGCCUUGAUGCCCUCCUCUUUAUCUGUGCCCCACUUUACACACAACACCCCAUCCAACGACUGUGAACACCUUGAAAUGUAUGCAUUUUAAGAAAUGUGAUACAAAAAUAGUUUGAUUUGAUUGAUGACUACAGCUGUAGAAUAUUUAAUAAACUGUAAAGUGCAGUUUUUCCAUAAACUUUUAAUUGAUAACUUGGGAUUUUGUCACUUGACAUAUCAAUCAUACAGUGGGAAGGAUCCUAUAAAUCAAGACUGUGUGGAUGCAUGUACCUCUCCGAAUAAAUAAAUUCAAUAAAGUCUGAUGUCUAAACAAAGUCGAUUCUGAAUGUCAAUUAGUCUUGGAUUAAUUCUCAUCAAUGACAACAUUCUAGAGCUAUCACUAAUCGAAGUCUGGUAUCCGGGGUAAUCUGGUUAUUGAUUUUUUGAUUAAGUGUCUCUUUCCUUAUAGAAUGUUGACAGCUGUAUAGAACAAAUUGUAUUGCUAUGGUGCUCAAAGCUUAAUAUGUUAAGCAUGUUCAAAUCCAGCUAUGUAUUUUUGUUUUAAGCCUAUCCUCAACCUUAACCAUUGCGGUAAUGCCUAACCUUAAGAUUUCAGAGUUAAUGACUUGAACUUAACCUUAAACUCUUCGAAAUUUGACUUUUGAGAAACAUGGAUCAAUGUCUACUUCUAACUUGAGACUGCGAGAGCUUGUUGGCUUUUUUUGCAUGUGACUACUCAUGUUUGUUAAUAACAAAUAAACAUAAA